rnacentral:lncRNA from 1 species
GUUCAUCUCAGCCUAUGCUACCCUCCAGUCCCUAGACUUCCUGGCGCUGACGGAAACAUGGAUCACCACAGAUAACACUGCUACUCCUACUGCUCUCUCCUCGUCUGACUACGUGUUCUCGCAUACCCCUAGAGCAUCGAGCCAGCGGGGUGGUGGCACUGGAAUCCUCAUCUCUCCCAAGUGGACAUUCUCUCUUUCUCCUCUGACCCAUCUGUCUAUCUCCUCAUUUGAAUUCCAUGCUGUCACAGUUACCAGCCCUUUCAAGCUUAACAUCCUUAUCAUUUAUCGCCCUCCAGGUUCCCUUGGAGAGUUCAUCAAUGAGCUUGACGCCUUGAGAAGUUCCUUUCCUGAGGAUGGCUCACCUCUCACAGUUCUGGACCAUUUCCGGAGACCUUCUCCCCUACCUCACCUCGCUCAUCAACGCAUCCUUGACCGCUGGCUACGUCCCUUCCGUCUUCAAGAGAGCGAGAGUUGCACCCCUUCUGAAAAAAACCUACACUCGAUCCCUCCGAUGUCAACAACUACAGACCAGUAUCC